CCAGUGCUCUCUUCCGUCGGCAUGGCCACCGUGGACAGCGGCCAGCCACAAGUGCCGCCGCUUAACCAAUAUCUUUUAACCAACACUGAGACUAAAUUAAGCCGGGAUGACCAAGAAUGGAGAAGACCAGACAAUAACUUUAUGGAGUCUGGUGUCUCAA